UAUCAUCUGUUUUCAUUUAAGCCUGAUUUGAGUUUUACUUGCUUUUCAUGGGGGAAAGGUGACGAGAGCUCAGCUGCUGCUUACGGAAAUGGUGGGCAGACGAAAACAACCUAAAAUUGCCUCAAAACGGAGAAAGUUUCAGAACAACACCGGAGAUGAAUCGAAAGAUGAUCGAAUCAGUGCGUUGCCAAGUUGCGUGCUACUUGAAAUCCUGUCCCGUUUACCCACCAUAAAAGACGCAAUCAGAACAGGUGCACUUUCCAACCGAUGGAAACAUCUUUGGACUUUGGUUCCCAUUCUAAUUUUCAAAGGUCGUGUUCCUAAUGUCUCUGGAUCCGAUUUCGUUUCCUUCGUGGACAAAACCCUAAUUCAAUGUCGCCAAUCGAAGCUCACGAAAUUCGAAGUGGAGUCCCGUGAUAUUCGACGAUUUGCAUCGCAAGUCAACAAUUGGAUUCGCUAUGCUAUAAGUUGUAAUGUUGAAGAGCUUAAAUUAGAGUUAUGGAAACCGGUACAUGAAGCUGGAUUUCCGUUAGAUCAAUUAUUUUUCAGCGCUUCAAGUUUUACUCAUCUGAGAUUAGAAGGCUGCAUGUUUAAUCCAACUGGGGCUAUUAGUUGGAAAAAUCUUAGGAGUUUGAGUAUUUCAUAUGGGAAGUUAGAUGAAGAUUUGAUUGAAAACAUUUUAUCUGGUAGUCCUGUAUUGGAAACUUUGGUGUUGGAUUAUUGUGAAGAUUAUAGGCGGCUCAACAUUACUUCAAAGAGCUUGAAGAACUUGGUGUUCUCCGGAUAUAUCGAUUAUCUUGAUCCACUUAAUGUUGGUAGCAUCGAAAUCAAUGCUCCUCAUAUUUCAUCACUAACAAUCAAAUGUUGUUUGUCUUUGUGGAAGCCAUUGUUGGUAAAUGUGUCGUCUUUAGUUGAAGCUAAUCUAUAUUAUACACUCUAUGAUCAUUAUGAAACAAGUACCCUUGAUGAAGCAGAAGAAGAGAUGCUUAAAGGAUUGAUGCUAAACCUUUGCCGUGUUAAGGAGCUUACGUUUAAUUUUGGGGAUGAAUGUUCUAAGACUUUUUCUCGUUUGAAAGAUAAGGGUUUCACUAUUCCAUCAAAUGCAAAGUUUCAUUGAUUGGUCUGGAAGUGGGGUCUUGCUUGCAUGAUCAUGGUCCUCAAGGAAUAACUAUCCAAAUGCAAUCCAUACAUUUUCAUAUCAGAAGAAACUUCAAAUCCACCUCAGCGUUCUUAUUUGAUAAAUGUGCAUGCUUCCUCACUUUGCUGCUUAGAAACCAUUUAUGGAGCAUGAAUGUCUUUGUUUCUACCUCUUGGGUUCUCUCUCAUUUGGAAGCAAAAGGUUUCGAUUUUCCAUCAAAUAUGAAAAUUUCCUGUUGUUGCUUAUGAUUGGUCUGACAUUGAUUCAGUUGGAAGCGAAGAUUUGUGAUACUUUGAAUUCGUGUUUUGUCAUUUUAGUUAUCAUUGUGACAUAUUUUCAUCUCUUUUACUGUUUGUUGUUUGUAAGGUUUAAUUACUUGGUUCCAUUAGGUCUCUCUGUUGUGGGUUGCUUGCGGAUCAUUUCUUAUUUUAAAAUAUUGAAUCUAUCGACAGUUUCAUGUGAUCUUUCUCUAUUUAGCUAAUGCAUUAUUAGUUUUUACUCUGA